UACGGGGGGUGCGAGCGUUGUCCGGAAUCACUGGGCGUAAAGGGCGCGUAGGUGGUUUGAUAAGGGUGUGGUGAAAGUCCGGGGCUCAACUCCGGAUCUGCCGUGCCGACUGUCAAACUCGAGGGCUGUAGAGGCAGACGGAAUUCCUGGUGUAGCGGUGGAAUGCGCAGAUAUCAGGAGGACACCUAUAGCGAAGGCAGCUUGCUGGGACGUUACUGAGCUAAGGCGCGAAAGCGUGGGGAGCGAAGAGG
rnacentral:rRNA from 1 species